rnacentral:lncRNA from 1 species
UGGGGUGUUCUGAAUGUGGUGAAGUGUGCAUGAAGGUUCUAAGUGAUCAAUAAGGGAUCAGUCACUCCCUUGGUGUUAAGGAUUUCGAAGAUUAUCAAUCGAAGAUGGAUAUACGAUACUAUACUGAUUGGCUUCAGUCUAAGUGGAAGUUAUUGAAAAUUGUAUCCCAAAGUCAAUCAUCAGCCUGUUGAUGGUUGAGCUAAUUGUUGUAAUUAUAUAUGAAUUAUUGAAAUAAUAAAUAUUAUUUAGUUUUCUCAUCACUCUAUGUAUAUCUUAUUUGAACUCUUAUUUUAUGAUAAAGUCCU